GUCCUGAAAACGCUGUUCAAUAAAACUCAUCGUGAAACAAGUUUUUCUGUUCUUAUAGUGGCAGUGUAAAAAUUCCACUUACGCUUACGCGCUUAUUCCACUCCAGAAGGCCAAUUCAACAUAGAAGCCGUCCCAAAUUGAGGUUAAGAUGAAACUGUUGGGCAAAUUUCCACCGUAUUUGUGUUCCGACCGCAAAUCUCGUUUGAAUUUGCUAAAUAUGUUUCGCUCGAUCAACAUCGACAAAAAUCAUCAUCAAAACAACAUUAAUAUCUUCAUUGUCCACGAAAAAUUGCAUUUUCAACAUAAUGCAAAUUUUUAACAUAGUUUAAAGUAUGGGGAAAAAAGUUUAUGCAGAAACAUGAAAAUUCGCUACAAAG